ensembl:lncRNA
AUGCACUCCAGCUGGUUUUGAUCCACACGAGACACCAGCGUGUAUGCGCACUCGCGUGUUUAUAUAUCUGCAUAUUACAGAAAAUGCGCUUGGUAAGCAGGAGACCUCCAUUUCAUCUUCCUUUUACUGAACGGCAAUCUCCUGGAGAGGAAGAUCCAUGAAAUGUCAGGGAAGAUUAUAACUCCGGGCGGUCCAAAGAGAUGAGGUCCGACCCUGCUUUCUGGAAAGAACACUUUGCAAAAUGAUACUGAAAGAUGGAGCAGAGGACACCUUGGGCUGCUAUAAGAAAUACUGCAUACUGGGUAGCUUAAACAACCAACAUUCAUCCCUAAUUGUUCUGGAGGCUGAGAAGUCCAAGAUCAAGAACAUGGCGGAGUUCGAAUUCAUCCCUUACCUGAAUCCAGACUUAGAGGAAGGGGCAAUCAAGAAGGCAGAUUUCAAUGACAAAAGAGUGAUGAAAAGGAGAGCAUCUUCCCCAGGCACCAUGCACCGUGUGAGGGGCAACUGGC